UUUCAAAAAAUUCGACUGUGUUCGAGCACACAACAAUCUGACUCGAUUUAGUCUGCCCACAGAAUAUGCUAAAGAGUCUUCUUUAUGGCCUAGAUCAUUAAAUUUGAGAAUAAAAGAAUAGUUAAUAACCACACUUUCAUUUUAGUCAAAACACCAAUCAUUCUUGUUUUACCUAGAAUCAGUCACAUCAAACAUUCAUCUCAUACAUGAUGCAUCUAAGCUAGCAUUGACGUUUCUAUAUGGAUAACAAAUUAACCCUCCUCUAGCUGGUGCAGAUAUAGAUUUGCAGUGGACAAUCAACUGAAUACAAGAAAACCGAAGCUGAUGCAGAUUUUUCUAGCCGAUGAUCAACUGAAUACACGAAAAUUCAAGCUGACUGUCUGCGUCACCUCUCCAUUUCCCCAACAACCUAUAAUUUCUAUAUAUAUAUGUGUGUGUGUCAUAUAUAUACAAGGGUAGCUACUGGCAAUCUUGCACUCUCAUCACGACUCCAUCUUUACCGACUUGAGUGCAGAGAAGCUGCAGCUGCAAUUUAAAAUUAGAUACAUCAACCAGUCAUCUCGCAUUCUCAACUAUUUUCAGUAGCAUGUUUGACUUAAGCUUAAUUUUAGGGGAAAAAAAUUCUCUUACCAAGAAAGCUCUCUUUCAAAAUAACUUUUAAGCUUAGCAAAACAAGCUUGUGCACUCUUCGGAUGAAGGUAACACUAUACAGACUAUCACAAAGACAGCCUCAAAUUUUUAUAAUUACAAAAAAAAAAAAGAAAAAAAAAAAAAAAAAAAAA
rnacentral:lncRNA from 1 species